rnacentral:rRNA from 1 species
CAACUGGGGAACCUGCCCGAUGACCGGGACAACCCGAGGAAACUCGGGCUAAUACCGGAUGAGCUCACGCCACAUCAGUGGCAUGAGGAAAGGAAGCUUCGGCCUCCGCAUUGGGAUGGGCCCGCGGCCCAUUAGCUUGUUGGUGGGGUAAAGGCCUACCAAGGCUUCGAUGGGUAGCUGGUCUGAGAGGACGAUCAGCCACACUGGGACUGAGACACGGCCCAG